rnacentral:rRNA from 1 species
UGGCGAACGGGUGAGUAACACGUGGGUGAUCUGCCUUGCACUUCGGGAUAAGCCUGGGAAACUGGGUCUAAUACCGGAUAGGACGAUGGUUUGGAUGCCAUUGUGGAAAGUUUUUCGGUGUGGGAUGAGCUCGCGGCCUAUCAGCUUGUUGGUGGGGUAAUGGCCUACCAAGGCGUCGACGGGUAGCCGGCCUGAGAGGGUGUACGGCCACAUUGGGACUGAGAUACGGCCCAG